rnacentral:rRNA from 1 species
UACGUAGGGAGCAAGCGUUGUCCGGAAUCAUUGGGCGUAAAGCGCGCGUAGGCGGCCUUGUAAGUCCGUUGUGAAAGUCAAAGGCUCAACCUUUGAAAGCCGAUGGAUACUGUGAGGCUAGAGUCCGGAAGAGGCGAGUGGAAUUCCUGGUGUAGCGGUGGAAUGCGCAGAUAUCAGGAGGAACACCAAUAGCGAAGGCAGCUCGCUGGGACGGUACUGACGCUAAGGCGCGAAAGCGUGGGGAGCGAACGGG